GUGACUGUAGUUCAGUUGGUAGAGCGCCAGAUUGUGGAUCUGGUUGGCGCGGGUUCGAGCCCCGUCAGUCACCCCA
rnacentral:tRNA from 1 species